rnacentral:rRNA from 1 species
AUCAUGCCAGUCGAACGCUUUGUGGUUCAACUGAUUUGAAGAGCUUGCUCAGAUAUGACGAUGGACAUUGCAAAGAGUGGCGAACGGGUGAGUAACACGUGGGAAACCUACCUCUUAGCAGGGGAUAACAUUUGGAAACAGAUGCUAAUACCGUAUAACAAUGACAACCGCAUGGUUGUUAUUUAAAAGAUGGUUCUGCUAUCACUAAGAGAUGGUCCCGCGGUGCAUUAGCUGGUUGGUAAGGUAAUGGCUUACCAAGGCGAUGAUGCAUAGCCGAGUUGAGAGACUGAUCGGCCACAAUGGGACUGAGACACGGCCCAUACUCCUACGGGAGGCAGCAGUAGGGAAUCUUCCACAAUGGGCGAAAGCCUGAUGGAGCAACGCCGCGUGUGUGAUGAAGGGUUUCGGCUCGUAAAACACUGUUGUAAGAGAAGAAUGACAUUGAGAGUAACUGUUCAAUGUGUGACGGUAUCUUACCAGAAAGGAACGGCUAAAUACGUGCCAGCAGCCGCGGUAAUACGUAUGUUCCAAGCGUUAUCCGGAUUUAUUGGGCGUAAAGCGAGCGCAGACGGUUAUUUAAG